rnacentral:rRNA from 1 species
UGACGGUACCUGACUAAGAAGCCCCGGCUAACUACGUGCCAGCAGCCGCGGUAAUACGUAGGGGGCAAGCGUUAUCCGGAUUUACUGGGUGUAAAGGGUGCGUAGGUGGCAGAUCAAGUCUGGAGUAAAAGGUAUGGGCUCAACCCGUACUUGCUCUGGAAACUGAUCAGCUAGAGAACAGAAGAGGACGGCGGAACUCCAUGUGUAGCGGUAAAAUGCGUAGAUAUAUGGAAGAACACCGGUGGCGAAGGCGGCCGUCUGGUCUGGAUUCUGACACUGAAGCACGAAAGCGUGGGGAGCAAAUAGGAUUAGAUACCCUAGUAGUCCACGCCGUAAACGAUGAGAACUAGGUGUUGGGGGAAUAACUCAGUGCCGCAGUUAACGCAAUAAGUUCUCCGCCUGGGGAGUAUGCACGCAAGUGUGAAACUCAAAGGAAUUGACGGGGGCCCGCACAAGCGGUGGAGUAUGUGGUUUAAUUCGAAGCAACGCGAAGAACCUUACCAGGCCUUGACAUCCCUUGCAGAGGUAUAGAGAUAUAUCCGAGGUUAUCAAGGAGACAGGUGGUGCAUGGUUGUCGUCAGCUCGUGUCGUGAGAUGUUGGGUUAAGUCCCGCAACGAGCGCAACCCUUGUGAUAUGUUACUAACAUUGAGUUGAGGACUCAUAUCAGACUGCCGGUGAUAAACCGGAGGAAGGUGGGGAUGACGUCAAAUCAUCAUGCCCCUUAUGAGCAGGGCUACACACGUGCUACAAUGGCGUAAACAAAGGGAAGCAAGCCUGCGAGGGUAAGCAAAUCUCAAAAAUAACGUCUCAGUUCGGAUUGUAGUCUGCAACUCGACUACAUGAAGCUGGAAUCGCUAGUAAUCGCGAAUCAGCAUGUCGCGGUGAAUACGUUCCCGGGUCUUGUACACACCGCCCGUCAA